UCUCCGUAGGUGAACCUGCGGAGGGAUCAUUACUGAGUGAGGGCUCACGCCCGACCUCCAACCCUUUGUGAACCAAACUUGUUGCUUCGGGGGCGACCCUGCCGUUUCGACGGCGAGCGCCCCCGGAGGCCUUCAAACACUGCAUCUUUGCGUCGGUGUUUAAGUAAAUUAAACAAAACUUUCAACAACGGAUCUCUUGGUUCUGACAUAGAUGAAGAACGGAGC
rnacentral:misc_RNA from 1 species